rnacentral:rRNA from 1 species
AUUGAACGCUGGCGGCAGGCUUAACACAUGCAAGUCGAGCGGGGUGAUGGUGCUUGCACUAUCACUUAGCGGCGGACGGGUGAGUAAUGCUUAGGAAUCUGCCUAUUAGUGGGGGACAACAUCUCGAAAGGGAUGCUAAUACCGCAUACGUCCUACGGGGGAAAGCAGGGGAUCACUUGUGACCUUGCGCUAAUAGAUGAGCCUAAGUCGGAUUAGCUAGUUGGUGGGGUAAAGGCCUACCAAGGCGACGAUCUGUAGCGGGUCUGAGAGGAUGAUCCGCCACACUGGGACUGAGACAUGGCCCAGACUCCUACGGGAGGUAGCAGUGGGGAAUAUUGGACAAUGGGGGGAACCCUGAUCCAGCCAUGCCGCGUGUGUGAAGAAGGCCUUAUGGUUGUAAAGCACUUUAAGCGAGGAGGAGGCUCUUUUGGUUAAUACCCAGAAUGAGUGGACGUUACUCGCAGAAUAAGCACCGGCUAACUCUGUGCCAGCAGCCGCGGUAA